rnacentral:rRNA from 1 species
UGGGGAAUAUUGGACAAUGGGCGAAAGCCUGAUCCAGCCAUGCCGCGUGAGUGACGAAGGCCUUCGGGUCGUAAAGCUCUGUCGGAGGGAACGAAUGUUCUUGAGGUUAAUAGCCUCGGGAGGUGACGGUACCCUCAAAGGAAGCACCGGCUAACUCUGUGCCAGCAGCCGCGGUAAUACAGAGGGUGCAAGCGUUGUUCGGAAUCAUUGGGCGUAAAGGGCGUGUAGGCGGUUUGUUAAGUCAUGUGUGAAAUCCCUCGGCUCAACCGGGGAACGACGCAUGAAACUGGGUGUCUUGAGUGUGAGAGAGGUAUGUGGAACUCCGAGUGUAGAGGUGAAAUUCGUAGAUAUUCGGAAGAACACCAGUGGCGAAGGCGACAUACUGGCUCAUUACUGACGCUGAGGCGCGAAAGCGUGGGGAGCAAAA